AAGGAUCAUUACUAGAGCAAAGGAUAGACAGCGCCCGCGGAGCUCGCUCCCGGGGCUACCCUACUCCCGUAGGGUUUAGAGUCGUCGGGCCUCUCGGAGAAGCUCGGUCCUGAACUCCACCCUUGAAUAAACUACCUUUGUUGCUUUGGCGGGCCGCCUCGUGCCAGCGGCUUCGGCUGUUGAGUGCCCGCCAGAGGACCCCAACUCUUGUUUUUAGUGAUGUCUGAGUACUAUAUAAUAGUUAAAACUUUCAACAACGGAUCUCUUGGUUCUGGCAUCGAUGAAGAACGCAGCGAAAUGCGAUAAGUAAUGUGAAUUGCAGAAUUCAGUGAAUCAUCGAAUCUUUGAACGCACAUUGCGCCCUCUGGUAUUCCGGGGGGCAUGCCUGUUCGAGCGUCAUUAUAACCACUCAAGCUCUCGCUUGGUAUUGGGGUUCGCGGUUUCGCGGCCCCUAAAAUCAGUGGCGGUGCCUGUCGGCUCUACGCGUAGUAAUACUCCUCGCGAUUGAGUCCGGUAGGUCUACUUGCCAGCAACCCCUAAUUUUUUUAAGGUUGACCUCGGAUCAGGUAGGGAUACCCGCUGAACUUAA
rnacentral:ncRNA from 2 species